rnacentral:rRNA from 1 species
UACGGAGGGGGCUAGCGUUGUUCGGAAUUACUGGGCGUAAAGCGCACGUAGGCGGCUUUUGUAAGUUAGAGGUGAAAGCCUGGAGCUCAACUCCAGAAUUGCCUUUAAGACUGCAUCGCUUGAAUCGCGGAGAGGUGAGUGGAAUUCCGAGUGUAGAGGUGAAAUUCGUAGAUAUUCGGAAGAACACCAGUGGCGAAGGCGGCUCACUGGACGCGUAUUGACGCUGAGGUGCGAAAGCGUGGGGAGCAACAGG